UUUAUAAUCAACCUCUAUCUAUCAAUUUAAAUAGCUUCAUUCAACUCAUUAAAUCAUUGGUCAAAGAAUGCAGGUGAGGGUAAUUAGAUUUAGAAGCUCAAAUAUGCGUAACAAAAAUCUCUGCGAUCAACUAUGUUCCUAGUUCAAUACUUGAUUGAAGCAAUAAGUUCAAGUUGAGUGCCACCUGCCAAGCUUCUCCUCAGCAACCUUCUCGGUUUGAUCCGCAGUUUAUUUAACUGCUGCUUCCUCUCGUAUGUUGCUUGAGCUCUCUCUUUCCUUGUCUUUUCAAGCUCCUUCAAUAUUAAAUGUAAUCGUUGUGGUUAGAAAAAGUUUAAAAAGUUUCUAAGGUGGUCGGUAAUACAUAACCCAAACUAUGAUGAAAGAUCUAGACAAGUGCAAAACUACUUGUUUGGUAGUGCUUAUAAGCUGUGGGUUCUAUGAAAUGUGUCAAAAUAGAAGGUACGG
rnacentral:lncRNA from 1 species